rnacentral:lncRNA from 1 species
CCUUUUUUGAAAAGUUAUCAAAAAUGUUAUUUAAUCGACGUUUUAUAAUUAACAUAUUUUUCUGUAAUAAUAUUCACUCAAACCUCACACGGCUACUUUGUAUGCGUUAUACAAUGAUGCAUAUAAAGUUGACGCUUGUCCGAUGUUUUUUGUAAAAGGCAAUGGUAGUAUCAAUUGUUGUAGUAUGACAAUUUUGUGUUAUAUCAUAGUUCUGACAUGAUACAUCUUUCUGUCUAUAUUAACGACAUAUGUAUGACGAACCUAACACCGUAGCCGCCCUCCCCCUUUUCAUCCCACCCCACCCCUCCCGACUUGAAUUUGUCACUGAACUGCACACAUGAUACCAUUCAUCAAUUUUGAUUAAUAUCUGAUAUAAACCAAAAACAGAAAGGUUAAUUAUUCUCAUUUCUUUUGAUAACUGGGAUAAUAGGCAGAAGAAAAGUUAUGUAUGUUUGAGCAUAUUUGGUUUGUAAUAUGAUUUGAUAAUACUGAGAAGCUGAGCAUUCAGUUAUAAACAGAGACAAUACCAUUUCAUUUAAAGACAUUAAAAGAAAUCUCGAAACUGAUAAAGUAAAGAAGAAAAAAUGUUUAUUUGCAUUUCAAAUAAAGAAAAAGGAAAAAAACAAAAAUACAGAGCUCAGAGGAAAAUUCUGAACGAAAUGUGUCUAAGCAAACGGCAAAAUCAAAAGCUGAAACACAUCAAACGAAUGAAAAACAACUGUCAUUUUCCUGAUUCGGUAUAGAUAUUUUCUUGUAUAAAAAAAUGUUGAUUUAACCUGGUUGUAUUACUAGCUCAACCUCUUACUUAUAUAUAACUAAUCAAAAACUACAAGGCUUAUAAAGUUUGCACGCGAAAAGCGAAAAAAAAAAUCUCAGUGAUUUAAACUAUUCAAAGCAAAGAAUAAACGGAUUAUACGUAACAUAAAUGUUAUUACUAAUGAACAUAGUAUUACUGCAUUGGUAAUGAGGAAAGGAAGGAGACGGAUGUUAAACAUUCAGCGGCGAAUUAUAUGCAUAUUCGGGUGAAAAGCAAGUUAAUACGAUAUUAAUGUUUCCCUGCUUUGAACAAGAACGACAUACUGAGCCGAUUUGUUUAAAGCAAAUUUAUAACUUCACAAGGUAACAGUUCACAGGAAGAUGUAUCACCUAAUUCGUGUUAAAAAAAAAAAAAAAAAGAAGAGCUUUCUGUAUAUUAAUGCAGACAUGACUGAGUGUCCUUAUUUUUAACUCACAAAAAAAAUCACAUUACAUUACAUGAUUUAUUAAAAAUAAUAAACUCUGUAUUUUCUGAAUUAUUUCAAAGAUUUCAUCAAUUUUAUAUUGAAAAUCACGCUAAGAUAACGACGCCA